UACGUAGGUGGCAAGCGUUGUUCGGAAUUACUGGGCGUAAAGCGCACGUAGGCGGCUUUGUAAGUUAGAGGUGAAAGCCCGGGGCUCAACUCCGGAAUUGCCUUUAAGACUGCAUCGCUAGAAUUGUGGAGAGGUAAGUGGAAUUCCGAGUGUAGAGGUGAAAUUCGUAGAUAUUCGGAAGAACACCAGUGGCGAAGGCGACUUACUGGACACAUAUUGACGCUGAGGUGCGAAAGCGUGGGGAGCAAACAGG
rnacentral:rRNA from 1 species